GAUCUUUAGCUCAGUUGGUUAGAGCAACCGGCUCAUAACCGGUUGGUCCGGGGUUCGAGUCCCUGAAGGUCCACCA
rnacentral:tRNA from 1 species